AUAGUAGGAGCCAAACAGUGGGAUCACUGGAUUAGUCAGUAAGAUUUCCAGCAAGUUUCUUUAUUAGCACUGUUUUGUAGUUUUAUUUAGUAGUCGUAUGUAUUUAUUAACUGCUAUAUGAAUGGUGUUGUCUCAAGAUGGAGUACGACUCUUGUGGUGAAAAAUAAUUGGGAAAGUGAUUUCGUCGCCUCGGUUAAAGGAGGGUCAGGUAGAAAAACUAUCUUUGUCUCUUUUCAAACUCUUU